ACGCGGAAGUGGAGGGCUUUGGCCUGAGGGGCGUUGACCGACCGCCCGGCUGGAGCGCGCUGGGCUUAGGACACGGGACCUGAGAUGCGGGGAGCGACGCACGCGGGCUCCUGGCCCCUGAGCCACGCCGAGGAGUCGUCAGGAGCAUCUCGGGACGAGGAAGGUGCGUGCAGAGUUUAAGGUUCCAGGCUCCGGAGUGACCUCUGUAUUCCUGGCUCCACCUUCUGGCCUCCUGACGUGUCGAGCAAAUGACCUAAGUCCCCCGAACCUCGGUUAUGUCGCUGUGCGACGGGGAUCAUAAUAGCGUAUGUCCCAUAGGAUGGUUGAGAGAAUUAAAUGAUGUCUCGGCAGUGGGGACCCAGCCAGACUCCUGUCACGGCCAAGAACUGGUAAGUUCUCAUUCGUGUCUGAUGAGGAGGGCAGGUUUCAGCGCUCCCCGUUUCUUCCGGUUUUGGUGUUGGAGUUCCGCAACUAACAGUGCACUGAAGGAAAAAGAUUCGGCAUUUGAAAGAGAAGCAAUAGGUAACUGGGUUCUAGGAGGGUAAUUUCUCUGUCUUCAGUGAUAAGGUGAUAGGUGGUCACGUGGGUCAUCUCGGCUAGCAUUGCCGGGCACGGGGGUACCGAGAAGAAUGAGACCCCCUGACUGUGUGAGAGCUGACACGGUACCGGUGGGGCGAGAGGGGUUGUCAGUUAGCAAGGUCAGUGUGAUGGGGGUGAUGUAGAAAGUGCUUCAGAAACCCAGGUGAGGUAGCAGUUCUGUGUGGUUGGUCAGGGAAGGCUUUGGAGAUUGAAACUUGGUACUCAGUUGGAGGAACAGUGGAUUUUUCCUGCGAACAGGGAAGGUAAAGGAUAUUCCCUGAAGAGGUAAACAGCAUUAAAUACUAUGUUAAAAGUUUUCAAAACGCCUUGUAAUUUUCCAUGUGCUCUUUAGAAACGUUUGGUGUUGACAUCCACAGGAAAAAGUAACCUCUUUUGAAUAACAAGUUAAGGCUCAAAGAGUUUUAUUUGCCCAAAGUCACCUAGCUGCUGAGUUCCAGACCAAGACCAGAACCUCUGAUACCUGUUACCACGUGAUUUCCACCUUGCCUUAUGGCCUUAUUCACCCAAGCAUCUUGAAGAGUCACAGCCUCUGUGAUUUGUAAAACACAGAGAAUUUCAACCUUGGCUGCCUGUCAGCAUCACCUGUAGGGCUUUAAAAAUUACAGAUGCCUGAGCCACCUCCAGACCUAUUAAAUUAGAAAGGGUGGGGAAUGGAUGGAACGGACGUAUAAUUUUCUUUUUAAAGUAUCACAGGUGAUUUUGGUACACAGAGCUGAGAAUUACUAGAUUCCAACUUUUUUUUCUUUGUUUGACAACACGGCUAUAUCUAAAAGGUUGAUUCACAUGAGUGUUAAUGUUUCAUGUACUCCGAAAAUAUGAAUUCCUGAGUUCUCUAGGUUUGUGAUAGACAAGAAGUUUAAUAGACAUGUUCCUCCUUGGCCAACAGAUUUUUCUCUUCAUUUUCAGUUCUUUCCAAAAAUGGGGGCAAGGUCAAGUACAUGAUUGAAUGCAUCAGUUUUUAUUUAUUGAGAGAAACCAGUCAGUGUCAUAUGGGAAAAAAGGCCUAAAUGACGAAUACCUUCUGAUGAGAUUGAUCAGGAAGUGCAUUCAUUUGUAAUUAAGUUAGCCUAUGUCAAUAAUCCCAAAGCAUAGUCUCCGGAAAAGUAAUCCCUGGAGAUACUUCCGGGAGGAAGAGAAUUCCACUGCCAUGUGCGGUGAAUUGGCUGCCUGUAGCUGCAAGGGAGGCUGAGAAAGCAGAGAGCAGGAUUGUAGUGAUGAGCUUAGGCCAGUCACAAUCCAUCCCCCAGACAUAGUGCUGUCUGGAAUCAAACCACAGUGAUGUUAAACUAAGAAAAAGUAGAGAAUGGAUUUUGGUUAAGCAGCUAAAAGGGCGUGCCACAGUUUUGUUGAACCUGUUGUUUUCCAAACAUUUUGGAAACAAACCCUUUUGUGAAAUACCCUGAAAACUUGGGAAGUGCCAGCCUCUCUCACACACACACAGCCAAACAAACAAACAAACAAUUUGGGGCUUGGACUAUGUUUGUGUUGACAGUUUCCACUUAUUCUAAGGUGAAUAGACUUCCUGAUUUGGAGCGAUCUUACUUCAUUUGACUUACUUUUCCUGGACAGGUUUCCUUAGAAAACGCCAUAUACAAGCUCUGCCCUUCAGUCACUGUAGAUUAAUAGGACAUGUAGAGAUGGGCCUCAACAGCCAUAUAACUGCACCUUUUCAUCUUAUAGAUUUGGCAACUGAGGUCCAGAGAGGUUAAGUAAUUUACUCUGAGUGAUAGAACUUUGUCUCCAGACACCCAGGCCAGCAUUUUUCCAUCUCAUUAUAUUGUCUUUCUUGUCCCUGACUCUACCUGUGGCAUCUUCACUAAUGAAAUUAAGUAGGGCUUCACAAUUAUAUAUAUUUCUUUGACUUUGGAUUUUUUAAUUUUUACAUUUCAAGUAAAAUAAAUAUGUUUCUUAGAUUUUUGUAGAAUAUGUUUUUAAUUACCUGCUUAUUUUGUUUAAUAUUGCUUAUGACAAGAGACAUAAAGAAUUAAAAGCAUUAUUUUUAGCUAAAAGCAUAGUUUUAAUUAGCCCACAGUUACUGAAAGUUGAGUUGUAUUCAAUUUUAUGUUAAUGUGGUCAUUAAGCACAGUUAUCACUUGCAUAUGUAUUUUUAAACGUGAUUCUGAAUAACCAAUGUAAAGCUUUGUACUUUGUCUCUUAAAACUAAUGUUAUCACGAUUUACCUAGAUAAUGGCUUAGCACUCAGUUAAAAACCAAGCUACCCUCAACUCCCACUUUGUCCUGUAGUGGAUUUGCUUCAGAAUUUGAAAGCAGAAUCUCAAAGUUUCUCCUUGGAGAGUCUGUACUGAAUCCAAUCUGCAUUUUAUUCCGUCUGAUGUGACUUCUGAGUGGAUGCUAACUCUCUCAAAGCCUUGGUGAAUUUACUGCAGUAGAUACAGACGUAGCUUCCUCUAGGCAAAAUCCCAACCUAGUAUGCAGGAUAUAAUCAGUUAGCACAGAAUUAUCCAUCUAAAAGCAAAAUAGAUUUCAGAGCCCAAGGAUAGGCAAAGGAUCUGAAACGAGUUUUUCCAAAGAAGAUAUACAAAUGGCCAAUAAGUACAUGAAAAGGUGGUCAACAGCAUUAGCAGUCAGAGAAAUAAGACUUAAAAUCAAAUUGGAAACCUGAUGUGCUACUGCUGGGAAUGUAAAAUGGUGCAGCUGCCUUUGAAAACAGUUUGGCAGUUUUUCAAAAAGUUAAAUAAAGGGCUGUCAUAUGACCCAGCAGUUCCACUCCUAGAUGGAGAAAUGAAGACAUACUUACUCAACAAUAGAAAGACAGGGUUCUUCCCCUGGUCCCAUGAUGUUGGGGGUAGCUGGUGACAAGACAGGCCUGGUUUGCUUCGUGCUUGAGGGAGGCCUCCCUCCUGCUGUGAGAAGGCCGAUGCUCAGGCUCCUUCCAGUGAGCUGGGCUCCCACCAGAUGUAGCUCUGCUCACCAGCGUCAGGGCUCCCACAUAAGUGUGUGUGUCCAGAGCCUCAGUGUGAUAAUAAACUGGCGUUUGCCCACGCUUGUCCUCCUCUGGAGGCUUAGCAAAGGUGACCACUGCUACAGUAGGCAACUCAGGUGUGGGAAGCGUGGAGUAUUUCAGGACCCUGCCUUUGGCCAUGGCUUCAUGGUGGUGAUGCUGGGUCAAGUCAGGUCAGGAGACUGGUGUUAAUUAGGCAAUCGAAAGGGUUAAAAAGAACUCUAAGUGUCACAGAGGUAGCAGCUUCAGAAAGUAGCUACCACCUCUGUAACUGGAUGAUGGGGAAUGAGGUCAGGAUUAUUACAGUGUGGAAACCGAGAGGAGCAGGCACUGCUCUACUGAUGCCGUGAUCUCUGCGGGGAACUGACCAAGCUGGAUCUUAAGGUGUUAGGAAAGCUGUACGUGGCCUCAGCCACUGCUGCUGGGGUGAAGGAGCACUGGAGUGAGGUGCUCAGGGGCGCAGGCAGAUGGGAAGCAGGUGGCAGGAGGGACCCCUGCCCUCUCCAUCCUGCAGCAUCACUGUCCCAUCUUGGCAGAGCCGAGCGGUGAGAGAGCCUGCAGGAGUGUGGUUUGCAGACUCCCAGCUCCAGCACCAGCAGGCACCGGAUACAGGGUAAGUUUGGAGCCAGGACAGAUAACUGCUGUGAGUUCUUAGGUGAACAGACGUUCCACUGUAAGUGUACAGAUUAGGGUUUACAAAUCAGCCUCCUAUGAGCUUGAAUAACCUAAAUCAGUUCCUCAGAUCUCUUAAUAGUUCCUCCAAGGUAACCAGUAAGGAUCCUGGUCCAAGGUCACUCCAGUCAGACAUUACCCCUCAGCUGUAACCUUUUCCAGCUCUACACCCCAGGGCUGAUUCCAUCCAGGAGCUUGGUGACAUCAUAAGUGGAAAGCGAAGUUCAGGAAUGCAGGAAAAUGAAACAGCCGCAGGGAAAUGAACUCGAGCAAAUUCUGUUCACUGCCGCGGCCUUCCACCUUCAUUAAUCAACAGGCCACGAUUUUAAGGGAAGCAGUACCUGCAGUCCAGGAGGUGAGUCACGAUGGCCUCCAGUCAAACAGAGGGAUCUCAGCCACACUUGCCCAGAGUUCCUGACAGCCUGAGAGGCCAUGUGACCCAGUUCUGACUAGAGAGAGAGAGGGAGAAACCUGCAGACAAGUUUUCUAGGAAAGACCUCAUUCACUACUGAAGGUGUUCAAAGGGCGGUGCUCUGGGCCUUUCCCUUCCUUUCAUUCUCAGGAAGCAGGGCUGAAAGUGGAAUUUCUGGCACUGAGGCAGCCGUCUCGCAAUUGUGAAGUGAUAAGGAAACAUGCCAGGGAAGGUGGAGUAGGAAAAAGAGAGCCCAGAUUCUAGAUGAACUGGUUGGGCCCCUGCUCCAAGCCUGGAGCAUCUGUCUGCAGACUUACUGCUGUAAGCACCCUGUUCUGCUUAAGCUACCUUCCGGGUUUCCGGUUCGUCGCGUCCCUGCUGGGACAUUGAGGGGUAGGGCUGGGGAGCCGAGUGACCUGCACCAGAGCUUGCGGAGGAAGACGGCAUGGAGAAGCAACCCAGAUCACGCCAGACCGCUGAAACGCAGGCCGUGUCUAACAAGAAUAACACAAACUCGACAUGGUAGCUGUUUCCAAUAGGAUAUAAACCCACAACGGUUUAAAUAAAACAAAUACAAGAUGCAGUUUUGUGCAGACUAGCUUCUUAUCUUGUUGCUUGGCUGUUUACUGUGCACCCGGUUCCUUUGCUGAUGUCAAAAUGUCCUGCUUCCCCACAUCAGGAAAGUAUCCCUUUUCUCUUUUCCUCCUCCUUGGAAUCUUGAAGCCUCGUGAAGAAUAUGGUGGAAUGCUCCAAGUGUAGCAGGAAACAAAUCCUGUUGGGCACUACUGGUUGAGAAAAUCAUAACCCAUAAAGAGCAUCCCUAAACACCUAAACACACAUUUUUUUAUUAGUUACCAG